UCAUCAGAAGAUAUCUGAUCAAAGGAAGAUGAAUGCAAGCUUUUGGAGUAGAAAUGAAGAGGAGGAAGAACAAGUUAGGUUUUAGGCUGGCAAACUGGAAGAUACUAUUGCUUCUAGUAAUGGAGGCUGAAAUAAAGGUUCCCAAGAAAGGAAGAAACAAAUGAUCUGCUGUAAUCAUAUAAGACCGAAGUAAACAUCUGUACCAGGU